rnacentral:rRNA from 1 species
UACGUAGGGGGCUAGCGUUGUCCGGAAUCAUUGGGCGUAAAGAGCGUGUAGGCGGUCCGGUAAGUCCGCUGUGAAAGUCGGGGGCUCAACCCUCGAAUGCCGGUGGAUACUGUCGGGCUAGAGUGCGGAAGAGGCGAGUGGAAUUCCUGGUGUAGCGGUGAAUGCGCAGAUAUCAGGAGGAACACCUAUUGCGAAGGCAGCUCGCUGGGACGUUACUGACGCUGAGACGCGAAAGCGUGGGAGCAAACAGG